rnacentral:rRNA from 1 species
UACAGAGGGUGCAAGCGUUGUUCGGAAUUAUUGGGCGUAAAGCGCGUGUAGGCGGCAUGGCAAGUCGGGUGUGAAAGCCCUCAGCUUAACUGAGGAAGUGCGCCCGAAACUGCCGUGCUUGAGUGCCGGAGAGGGUGGCGGAAUUCCCCAAGUAGAGGUGAAAUUCGUAGAUAUGGGGAGGAACACCGGUGGCGAAGGCGGCCACCUGGACGGUAACUGACGCUGAGAUGCGAAAGCGUGGGGAGCAAACAGG